rnacentral:rRNA from 2 species
UCCGGUGUCCAUAGCGACGGUGAAACACACGUUCCCUUCCCGAACACGUUCGUUAAGGCUGUCAGCGGCGAUGGUACUGCAUAUUUGACUGUGGGAGAGUAGCACGAUGCCGGGA